CUUGCUUCAGCCUAUAUAUACUAAAAUUGAAUGAUAUAGAGAAGAUUGGCAUGGCCCCUGCACAAGGAUGACAUACAAAUUUGUGAAGUGCUCCACAUUUUU